rnacentral:lncRNA from 1 species
GCGUGAGCCGGAGCAAUAGCCAGGGGACAAUGCCAGGGUAGCUUCAUGCAAGGAACUAGGCUUUUUUCUCUCCUCCAUCUAAAGCUUUUAAAUUAUUUCAAGACAAACUUACUAUAAAACAUCAGAUAAUUUGCUCUCUGCUGCCAGCUGAGCAUAAUUCUAACAGUACAGAUUGCCACUUCAUUUCAAAGUCCUUAACUUCAAAUCAUGUUAACAUUACUUUACUGGGCAAAAAAUAAAUUUUAGCAUUCUUUUCAUUGGUAACAAAUGGGAACUAAGUAAGGCACGCAAAUUGUGUCUUUCUGAAUCAAAGAUUUUAUUCUACACUUGCAAUGCUAAAGGUGGCUUUUAUGGGAAGGGCCUAAGGGUGUCUCUUAUGGAAGCCUUCAGAUUGUUGAGAGGAGGACAAUCACAAGAGAUUGUUUUCCUUUCUCUGGCUUCUGGAUCCCCAGCAUACAACUCUAAGGCAAAACAGACUGGAGUGCUAGGGCUGGGGCCACGUUUGUUCCAACAGCACAGCACAUUCCUAAAGCAAAUAGUGACCUGGUUUUUGCUAUGUGCUAGAUAUUGUUUCAGACACCCUUGUUCUUCAUUUUGGUUAUCAGAUGAUAGAAACACUGUACCCCAAUAAAUUAGAAUAAAUAAUAAAUUAGUGUCCUCAGGAAUCUCACAUUAAGAAGAAAAAAAAGCAUAAAGUCUGGGCCAACCAGAAAACAAAGAGUAUUCCAAGUUGUCAGACAAGUAUGCUGAAGGGUAAAACAGAAACACAUAUGGAUCAGUGGUGGAUAGGACCUUAUUCACUAGAACCUGUUUAGUUGAUCAGUCUAACUGUGGCCUUCUACAUAAAUGUUCAUCUCAAGUCAAGACCUGAAGGUAGACUCAACUCAUGGAUCACAGUACUUUUUUCCCUCUUCCCAGAGUGGCCAUAUGAAGUAAAUCUUCUUUUUCUGCCUUUCCUACUUAAUUUGGCUCUUGCAAUUGGCUUGCUGAGAGCAGGUGGCGGAACCUGGCUUGUUGGUAUAUAAGUCGUGGCCCUGAAUUUCGUAGCAGUUGGAAUACAUCAUUUAAACAAAACAGCUAGAUUUUUUUUUUUAUUAUUUACAAAAUCCACAUUCUGGUAAGGGUCAGCAGUGUAAUAAGUAUUAAGUUCAUUGAGUAAAUCAAGCUGUAAUGCGUUACAAGUUAUAGAGACCGUUGGUAAAUAGAGAGCAGAGUAGGAUUGGACUGCAGUGGAGUAAUCAGAACCAGAAUCAAGUAUGAGAAGUCUGCUAAGAGUAUUUGUUUACCUGGGACCUGAGUGUCCUAGAGUAGUCGUCACCUCUACAGCUUCCCCUAUGCUACCUCAGUAGCAAAUACAUGCACACUCAGAUGCACACUCACAGGCGCACACUCACAGUCACUACUCUUGACAUCACUUUUCACUAUACUCUUGAUGACCUUGAGCCUCUAUCUCUAAUCCUUUCUUCUAUAAAGGUGUUUUGUAACCUGUGAGUCUUAAUCCCUUUGAGGGUCACAUACCAGGUUCCCUGAACAUCAGAUAUUUACAUUAUGAUUCACAACAGUAGGAAAAUUAUAGUUAUGAAGUAGCAACAAAAUGAUUUCAUGGUUGGGGUCUCCAGAACAUCAGGAACUGCAUUAAAGGCUCGAAGCAUUAGGAAAGCUGAGAACCACUGCUCUGUGAUGUUCUUCUCUGUUUGCUCUGGAUUCAUCUCAGUUGUGUAACCUUCCUUUCUUCCUUCUUGGUUUGUUUGUUCGUUUGUCUGUUGUUUUUAGCACAUUUCCCAUUUUAUUUUAUUUGUUCCUACAUGUUUCAAGUAUUACCUUC